rnacentral:rRNA from 1 species
ACUGGAAUGUUCUUUUCUUUAAAAGUAAUGCUUCAAGAUGAGUCGGCGGCGGAUUAGGUAGUUGGUGAGGUAAAGGCUCACCAAGCCGAAGAUCCGUAAGGGCCUUGAGAGAGGUUGCCCUGAGAGGGACACUGAGAUACUGGUCCCAGCCCUAAGGGGUGCAGCAGUCGGGAAGACUUUACAAUGCGCGCAAGCGUGAUAAGGGGAUUCUGAGUGCUCAGGUACAACUUGAGCUUUUGCCAAGAGUAAAAAUCUUGGAGAAUAAGUGGUGGGCAAGACUGGUGCCAGCCGCCGCGGUAACCCCAGCGCCACAAGUGGGAACCACGUUUAUUGGGUCUAAAGCAUCCGUAGCCGGUUUGGCAAAUGCCCUGUGAAAUCGUUUCGCUUAACGAAACGGCGUGCAGGGUAGACUACCAAACUAGGGACCAGGGAAAGGAGGCGGUAUUCCUGAGGGAGCGGUAAAAUGUGAUAAUCUCAGGAGGACCACCAAUGGCGAAGGCAGCCUCCUAAAAUGGAUCCGACGGUGAGGGAUGAAAGCUAGGGGAGCGAUCCGGAUUAGAUACCCGAGUAGUCCUAGCCGUAAACGCUGCAUGCCAGAUGUUACACAAUCUCCGUGAUUGUGUAGUGUCGUAACGAAGGUGUUAAGCAUGCCACCUGGGAAUUACGGUCGCAAGGCUGAAACUUAAAGGAAUUGGCGGGGGAGCACUACAAGGGGUGCGGCGUGCGGUUUAAUCGAAUUCAACGCCGAGAACCUCACCAGAGGCGACGGCAGAAUGAAGCUCAGUCUAAAGGGCUUAGCUGACGAGCCGAGAGGUGGUGCAUGGCCGGCGUCAGCUCGUGCUGUGAAGUGUCCUGUCAAGUCAGGCAACGAGCGAGACCUGUAUCCACUGUUGCUAACGCGCCCGUAAGGGUGAGCGAGCACACUGUGGAGACUGCCUUCGAAAGAAGGAGGAAGGUUCAGGCUACGCUAGGUCUGUACGCCCCGAAUCUUCUGGGCUACACGCGCGCAACAAUGGUCGUGACAAUGGGAUGCAACACCGAAAGGUGAAGCCAAGCCUCGAAACACGACCCUAGUAUGAAUCGAGGGCUGCAACUCGCCCUCGUGACAUCGGAAUCCCUAGUAAUCAGAGGUUAGCAUCCUCCGGUGAAUAUGUCCCUGCUCCUUGCACACACCGCCCAUCAAACCAACCGAGCAGGCUUUAAGUGAGUCACAACUAUUUGGUUGUGCCGAACUUAAGGUCAGUAAGGUGGGUUAAGUUGUCACAAGGUAUCCGUAGGGGAACCUGCGGAUGGAUCACCUCC